GCGCUAUCAGAUGAGCCUAGGUCGGAUUAGCUAGUUGGCGGGGUAAAGGCCCACCAAGGCGACGAUCCGUAACUGGUCUGAGAGGAUGAUCAGUCACACUGGAACUGAGACACGGUCCAG
rnacentral:rRNA from 1 species